rfam:Cavia porcellus supercont2_5 genomic scaffold, whole genome shotgun sequence.
UGGCACCCAGUGUGGGGCUCCUGGCAUGAAGGGCUCAACGAGGGAGCCAUCCUGAGACGUGCACAUAAGAAGGGAACUAAGAGUUUUGUGACCAACACUACGCAGGAGCCUGCUGUACCACUCGAGUCACGGUAAGUGGACGGCGAUCCUUUCCCUUUUUUUCCAGAAUGGGUCAGGGAUUAAGUGAUCAUAAAUGCUUUGUGUCAGGUUUAAAUAAAGCUUUAAAGACAAGAAGGAUAAAGGCUAAAGAAAAAGAUUUAUUGUAGUACUUUCAAUUUAUUCAUAAGGUUUGCCCUU